rnacentral:rRNA from 1 species
GACGAACGCUGGCGGCGUGCUUAACACAUGCAAGUCGAACGGAAAGGCCCUGCUUUUGUGGGGUGCUCGAGUGGCGAACGGGUGAGUAACACGUGAGUAACCUGCCCUUGACUUUGAGAUAACUUCAGGAAACUGGGGCUAAUACCGGAUAGGAGCUCCUGCUGCAUGGUGGGGGUUGGAAAGUUUCGGCGGUUGGGGAUGGACUCGCGGCUUAUCAGCUUGUUGGUGGGGUAGUGGCUUACCAAGGCUUUGACGGGUAGCCGGCCUGAGAGGGUGACCGGCCACAUUGGGACUGAGCUACGGCCCAGACUCCUACGGGAGGCAGCAGUGGGGAAUAUUGCACAAUGGGCGGAAGCCUGAUGCAGCAACGCCGCGUGCGGGAUGACGGCCUUCGGGUUGUAAACCGCUUUCGCCUGUGACGAAGCGUGAGCGACGGUAAUGGGUAAAGAAGCACCGGCUAACUACGUG